UACGAAGGGGGCUAGCGUUGCUCGGAAUCACUGGGCGUAAAGCGCACGUAGGCGGAUUGUUAAGUCAGGGGUGAAAUCCUGGAGCUCAACUCCAGAACUGCCUUUGAUACUGGCGAUCUUGAGUCCGGGAGAGGUGAGUGGAACUGCGAGUGUAGAGGUGAAAUUCGUAGAUAUUCGCAAGAACACCAGUGGCGAAGGCGGCUCUCUGGGACGGUACUGACGCUGAGGAGCGAAAGCGUGGGGAGCGAACAGG
rnacentral:rRNA from 1 species